rnacentral:rRNA from 1 species
AUUGAACGCUGGCGGCAGGCUUAACACAUGCAAGUCGAGCGGGGUGAUGGUGCUUGCACUAUCACUUAGCGGCGGACGGGUGAGUAAUGCUUAGGAAUCUGCCUAUUAGUGGGGGACAACAUCUCGAAAGGGAUGCUAAUACCGCAUACGUCCUACGGGAGAAAGCAGGGGAUCUUUAUGACCUUGCGCUAAUAGAUGAGCCUAAGGCGGAUUAGCUAGUUGGUGGGGUAAAGGCCUACCAAGGCGACGAUCUGUAGCGGGUCUGAGAGGAUGAUCAGCCACAGUAGGAGUGAGGCACGGCCCAGACUACCACGGGAGGCAGCAGUGGGGAAUAUUGGACAAUGGGGGGAACCCUGAUCCAGCCAUGCCGCGUGUGUGAAGAAGGCCUUAUGGUUGUAAAGCACUUUAAGCGAGGAGGAGGCUCUUUUGGCUAAUACCCAGAAUGAGUGGACGUUACUCGCAGAAUAAGCACCGGCUAACUCUGUGCCAGCAGCCGCAGUAA